rnacentral:rRNA from 1 species
ACUCCUACGGGAGGCAGCAGUGGGGAAUAUUGCACAAUGGGGGAAACCCUGAUGCAGCCAUGCCGCGUGUGUGAAGAAGGCCUUCGGGUUGUAAAGCACUUUCAGUAGGGAGGAAGGUAGUGUAGUUAACACCUGCAUUAUUUGACGUUACCUACAGAAGAAGCACCGGCUAACUCCGUGCCAGCAGCCGCGGUAAUACGGAGGGUGCGAGCGUUAAUCGGAAUUACUGGGCGUAAAGCGCAUGCAGGUGGUUUGUUAAGUCAGAUGUGAAAGCCCGGGGCGUCAACCUCGGAAUUGCAUUUGAAACUGGCAGACUAGAGUACUGUAGAGGGGGGUAGAAUUUCAGGUGUAGCGGUGAAAUGCGUAGAGAUCUGAAGGAAUACCGGUGGCGAAGGCGGCCCCCUGGACAGAUACUGACACUCAGAUGCGAAAGCGUGGGGAGCAAACAGGAUUAGAUA